GAUAGAAAAAGACAGACAGACAGACAGACAGACAGACAUAUAGUUGAAAACAAAGAAUGAGAGAGAGAGAGAGAAAGAGAGAAAGAGAAAGUGUGAAAGAGGAAGAGAGAAAAAAGAAAAAAAAUGGAAAAUUAGAGACAAAGACAGAAAAAGAGAAAGAAAGAGAUAGGGAGAAAAAACGUCAUGACACGUCGCGCUUUUAGACGGGACGUCGAACGACGCGUUCAUUAUCAAUUAACGCGCACGCUUUCCCCGUACGAGUUAUCGGUUAAUUCCUCUUUUUCAAGCUUUUAUUUCGAGAGUGCAGUCGCCCAAUGCUUUUUACGUUGUACACGUCGGACCGAACCAAGCCGAUCGAUUCGCGAAGCAUCGCAAGCACACGAGAGUGAACCUUCCCUCAUCUAUUCCUACGUUCUGCAUCGACCUGUGUAUUCCUUGUCGCGUCACAUUUUCCGACCGUCAAAAAAAAGGAAAAUGGAGAAAGAGGAAAUGAAAAUAGAAUAAAAAAAAAAGGAAAGAAAAAAGGAGAGAGAAAGAAAAAUUUACGGACUCACCUCGAUAAGGUGCCCUUGAGCAAAGGAUUCCUGUCGUCAUAAUAUCCGCCGGACGAAGUCAUCUUCAAGUAAUCCAAGGAACGGGCACGUGGCACUCGACACUGACACUACGGCACUGCAUCACUGUGUCGCGUGAUCCGUUAGCCUAGCUUUCCAUUCACCGCAGCAGCAGUAGCAGCAGCAGCAACGACGACGACGACGGCAACGAAGACAACAACAACGACGACGAUGACGUUCGAGCGUAUGCACGACGACGAUACAUCGUCGUCGAAUUAAUCGAGACGGCGUGCGUCAAAAGACGACGCUUCGUCCUCUUCUUCCUCGUGAAGAUUUUUGCGCUAGAUCAACGAUGGAAAAAAAAUGAUCCUUCUUCCUUUCCUUCUUUUCUUUCUUCCUUCCUUCCUUCCUUCCUUCCUUCCUUCCUUCCUUUCUUCCUCUCGUUUCUUCUUUUUUACAAUUAUAUCUUCUUUAACUCGCUAUUUCCGUUCGUCAGUUCACUGUUCGAAUUCACGAUCAAGAUUACUUGCCGUUCUCUCUUUUCCUUUUUCUCUUAAAUAUGUCACAUACGCCGAUGAUACUUUUUAUCGUCUUAUGAUUGUCACGGAAUACGUCAUAGAAAAAUAAAAAGAAACAGAAGAAAAAGAAAAAAAGAAAAGAAAAACUUUCGUCGUUGCUCGUUAGAGUAAGCGCUCACUGCGCACGACGUAGUCACUCGAGAGUGCGACUUUCGGCGAGCGAGGACGAUCGUUCUUACUCUUUCUCUCCUACCACAAGGUCCGUUCUAGAUGCUCGAUCACUUUCACGAUUUAAAGCCAAAUUAUUUUCUUCUUUUCUGGAACGAGGUAAUCACCGGAUUGCCGCUUCGUAGAUCCCAAUACUCGUUCGUGGUGGCACGGUUCUCGCUCCGCGGACGUUACAGGCCUGCAUGAUGAUGAUACGCUUGGAUUAUUUGAUUAUCUAUCUAUCUAUCUAUCUAUCUAUCUAUCUAUCUAUCUGCCUACCUACGUAGCUACCUUACCUAUCUAUUUAUGCAUCCAUCUAUCUAGCUAUCUAUUUAUCUAUCUCUUUGAAUCAUUCUUGCGCGUCACGGAGUUCAAUGAACGUACGACGUGUUUUCUAGAAAUGAGUGGAAAAUGGUUCGUUGGAUUAGAAGGUGACAGUUUCGAUCCAAACCCGAACGAAAAAUCAGCGAAAAGUUCGCAAAUACGACUCUUUCAAAGAUGGCGCCGUCUUUGAUUACUCCGACAACGUAUGCGACGCAUUACCCGGGAAAAUUUAAACUUUCAAAAGAUACAUUUGUAUUAACAAAUCGAUCUCUGCCAAAAACAUAUAAAUUCUUAUAUAAUUAACGAGUUUUGCGGAUCGAAUAAUAAUAAUAAUAAAGUUUUAAUUACUUA